rnacentral:rRNA from 1 species
AAAAUACCCGAACCCAUUCCGAAUUCGAAGGUUAAUUUAUAAAAAAUCUAAUAUACUAAGUAUUCUUGGAAAACAUA